AUGUAGAAGGCAUUGACAUUGAAGUAUGAGCCAUUCAUAGAACAUGAAUAUGAGAGUACUCCUAGAAGAAAGAGGAGACUUUUUCUUGGUGGUGAGAUCACUAAGAUGGAGGGAAAAAUUAAGGAUGUCUACGAUAAGAGGAACACACAAAAAUCCAAGCAAACAUAGAGAUUAGAGAAUAUCUACAUGGUCUCACAUGCUCCACUUGAUGAAUAUGGUGAGAUUUCAUGAACAGAAAUAAACCUAAUUUUCUAUUAUCUUUGUUGAUUAUCUCCUCAAAUAACUGUAGAAGAAUCAGUCAUCUUUUCUGCUUGGUUGCGUUUGUCUCCUGAU